rnacentral:rRNA from 1 species
CCCUAUGGGGUGCAGCAGUUAGGAAUUGUGCCCAAUGCGCGAAAGCGUGAGACCGCGAAUCUGAGUGCCAGGGAGAACCCUGGCUGUGAUGGAGUGUUCGUAGCUCCAACAGCAAGCAGAGGGCAAGGCUGGUGCCAGCCGCCGCGGUAAAACCAGCUCUGCGAGUGCCUAGGACGAUUAUUGGGCUUAAAGCAUCCGUAGCCGGGUCAGUAGGUCUCUGGUUAAAUCUGCAAGCUUAACUUGUAGGCUGUCAGAGAUACCGCUAACCUAGGGAAUAGGAGAGGUGAACGGUACUGCAGGAGAAGCGGUGAAAUGCGUUGAUUCCUGCAGGACCCACAGUGGCGAAGGCGGUUCACUAGAAUAUCUCCGACGGUGAUGGAUGAAAGCCAGGGGAGCGAAAGGGAUUAGAGACCCCUGUAGUCCUGGCCGUAAACGAUGAGGAUUAGGUGUUGGUCAUGGCUAAGGGCCUGGUCAGUGCCAAAGGGAAACUAUUAAAUCCUCCGCCUGGGGAGUACGGUCGCAAGGCUGAAACUUAAAUGAAUUGACGGGAAAGCGCCACCAGGCACGGGAUGUGUGGUUUAAUUCGACUCAACGCGAGGAAACUCACCUGGGGCGACUGUUACAUGUGUGUCAGCUGAAGACCUUACACGAAUAAACAGAGAAGAAGUGCAUGGCCAA